UUACAUUCAGAGGUCAGGAUGGAACACAGACAGCUCACCAUGGAGUUUGGCCUCAUCUGGGUUUUCCUUGUUGCUGUCUUAAAAGGUGUCCAGUGUGAGGUGCAGCUGGUGGAGUCUGGGGGAGGCUUGGUCCAGCCGGGUGGGUCAAUGAGACUUUCCUGUUCAGCCUCUGGAUUCACUUUCAGUCAAUACGGAAUGCACUGGAUCCGCCAGGUCCCAGAAAAUGGAUUGGAGUGGGUGGCAGUUAUAUGGUAUGAUGGAAGUCAGAAAUAUUAUGCAGACUCCGUGAAGGGGAGAUUCACCAUCUCCAGAGACAACAACAAGAAUAUGCUGUAUCUGCAAAUGGACAGUCUAAGAACUGAGGACACGGCCCGGUAUUACUGUGCAAGUUACACAGUGAGGAAAAAUUUGUGUCAGCCCAGACAAAAACCUCCCUGCAGAUAUCUGGCCUCAGUCACGGGCUCCAGUCAUAGUGCUCGUUCCAGUGUCAUGAGCAGCAGUCACAAGAAGCAACGCAGUGUUCCCACACUUUCCAGGUAG